rnacentral:rRNA from 1 species
ACGCUCGACACCUACGUGAGGCAGCAGUGGGGAAUAUUGCACAAUGGGGGAAACCCUGAUGCAGCGACGCCGCGUGAGUGAAGAAGUAUUUCGGUAUGUAAAGCUCUAUCAGCAGGGAAGAAGAUGACGGUACCAGAGUAAGAAGCCCCGGCUAACUACGUGUCAGCAGCCGCGGUAAUCUGAGCGGGCUGGCAAGGC